AUGACGGUCCUAAGCUGGAACUACCGGGGUCUUGGGCAGCCCCGGACAGUUCAGGAACUUGUAUGCCUUGUGCAUACCUACAAGCCCAAGCUUGUGCUCCUCUCUGAAACUCGGCAAAGCACCUCGUAUGUUAAUAAGUUGAUAUGGAGGCUAGGCCUCAUAGACUAUAUUGCGCAGCCCGGCAUUGGCAAAAGUGCUGGUAUCACGCUCUUCUAUGACGAAAGUGUGGAAGUAAUAAAGCUUGCCGUUGGCCCGAGGUACAUCGACGUGUUAAUUCGUUUGAAUCCAAAUAAAAUGCAGUGGCGGGGUACUUUUGUCUACGGUGAACUGAAAGCUCAUCUAAGACAUAACAUGUGGGAGCUGAUGCGUAGAAUAAAACCCAACUCCAGCGCUCCCUGGAUGAUGAUAGGUGAUUUCAACGAGACAAUGUAG
rnacentral:rRNA from 1 species